rnacentral:rRNA from 1 species
GACAGAGGGUGCAAACGUUGUUCGGAUUUACUGGGCGUAAAGCGCGUGUAGGCGGCUUGGCAAGUUGGAUGUGAAAGCCCACGGCUCAACCGUGGAAGCGCAUCCAAAACUGCUUCGCUCGAGUCUCGGAGAGGAAGGUGGAAUGCUUGGUGUAGAGGUGAAAUUCGUAGAUAUCAAGCAGAACACCUGCGGCGAAGGCGGCCUUCUGGACGAUGACUGACGCUGAGACGCGAAAGCGUGGGGAGCAAACAGU